UGCAGUCGACGGCAGCACGGGAGCAAUCCUGGUGGCGAGUGGCGAAGGGUGRGAAYURUAUCGGAACAUGCCCAGUCGUGGGGGAUAACGCASCGAAAGCKGUGCUAAUACCGCAUACGAUCUAUGGAUGAAAGCGGGGGACUCGCAAGAGCCUCGCGCGAUUGGAGUGGCCGAUAUCAGAUUAGCUAGUUGGUGGGGUAAAAGCUCACCAAGGCGACGAUCUGUAGCUGGUCUGAGAGGACGACCAGCCACACUGGAACUGAGACACGGUCCAGACUCCUACGGGAGGCAGCAGUGGGGAAUUUUGGACAAUGGGCGCAAGCCUGAUCCAGCAAUGCCGCGUGCAGGAUGAAGGCCUUCGGGUUGUAAACUGCUUUUGUACGGAGCGAAAAGGCUUUAACUAAUACUUAAAGCUAAUGACGGUACCGUAAGAAUAAGCACCGGCUAACUACGUGCCAGCAGCCGCGGUAAUACGUAGGGUGCAAGCGUUAAUCGGAAUUACUGGGCGUAAAGCGUGCGCAGGCGGUUUUGUAAGACAGAUGUGAAAUCCCCGGGCUCAACCUGGGACCUGCAUUUGUGACUGCAAAGCUAGAGUACGGCAGAGGGGGAUGGAAUUCCGCGUGUAGCAGUGAAAUGCGUAGAUAUGCGGAGGAACACCGAUGGCGAAGGCAAUCCCCUGGGCCUGUACUGGCGCUCAUGCACGAAAGCGUGGGGAGCAAACAGGAUUAGAUACCCUGGUAGUCCA
rnacentral:rRNA from 1 species